GACGAACGCUGGCGGCGUGCUUAACACAUGCAAGUCGAACGGUAAGGCCCCAGCUUGCUGGGGUACACGAGUGGCGAACGGGUGAGUAACACGUGGGUGACCUGCCCCGCACUUCGGGAUAAGCCUGGGAAACUGGGUCUAAUACCGGAUAGGACCGCACCGUGAGGGUGUGGUGGAAAGUUUUUCGGUGUGGGAUGGGCCCGCGGCCUAUCAGCUUGUUGGUGGGGUAAUGGCCUACCAAGGCGGCGACGGGUAGCCGGCCUGAGAGGGUGGACGGCCACAUUGGGACUGAGACACGGCCCAGACUCCUACGGGAGGCAGCAGUGGGGAAUAUUGCACAAUGGGCGGAAGCCUGAUGCAGCGACGCCGCGUGGAGGAUGACGGCCUUCGGGUUGUAAACUCCUUUCACCAUCGACGAAGGUUUUCUGACGGUAGAUGGAGAAGAAGCACCGGCUAACUACGUG
rnacentral:rRNA from 1 species